AUUGAACGCUGGCGGCAGGCCUAACACAUGCAAGUCGAACGCGUGGCGGACGGGUGAGUAAUGUCUGGGAAACUCCCUGAUGGCGGGGGAUAACUACUGGAAACGGUAGCUAAUACCGCAUACCAUCAGAUGUGCCCAGAUGGGAUUAGCUUGUUGGUGGGGUAACGGCUCACCAGGGCGACGAUCCCUAGCUGGUCUGUGAGGAUGACCAGCCACACGUGAACUGAGACACGGUCCAGACUCCUACGGGAUGGAGAAGUGGGGAAUAUUGCACAAUGGGGGAAAGCCUGAGGCAGCCGGGCCGCGUGUAUGAAGAAGGCCUUUGGGUUGUAAAGUACUUUCAGCGGGGAGGCGGUAGCCGCAGAAGAAGCACCGGCUAACUCCGUGCCAGCAGCCGCGGUAAUAC
rnacentral:rRNA from 1 species